rnacentral:rRNA from 1 species
GACGAACGCUGGCGGCGUGCUUAACACAUGCAAGUCGAACGGAAAGGCCCUGCUUUUGUGGGGUGCUCGAGUGGCGAACGGGUGAGUAACACGUGAGUAACCUGCCCUUGACUUUGGGAUAACUUCAGGAAACUGGGGCUAAUACCGGAUAGGAGCUCCUGCUGCAUGGCGGGGGUUGGAAAGUUUCGGCGGUUGGGGAUGGACUCGCGGCUUAUCAGCUUGUUGGUGGGGUAGUGGCUUACCAAGGCUUUGACGGGUAGCCGGCCUGAGAGGGUGACCGGCCACAUUGGGACUGAGGUACGGCCCAGACUCCUACGGGAGGCAGCAGUGGGGAAUAUUGCACAAUGGGCGGAAGCCUGAUGCAGCAACGCCGCGUGCGGGAUGACGGCCUUCGGGUUGUAAACCGCUUUCGCCUGUGACGAAGCGUGAGUGACGGUAAUGGGUAAAGAAGCACCGGCUAACUACGUG